GUGAGGAAUAUUGGUCAAUGGGCGGAAGCCUGAACCAGCCAUGCCGCGUGCAGGAAUAAGGCCCUAUGGGUCGUAAACUGCUUUUCCUUGAGGGCAAUAAGGGUCACGUGUGGCCCGAUGAGAGUAUCAGGGGAAUAAGCAUCGGCUAACUCCGUGCCAGCAGCCGCGGUAAUACGGAGGAUGCGAGCGUUAUCCGGAUUUAUUGGGUUUAAAGGGUGCGUAGGCGGAUUAUUAAGUCAGUGGUGAAAUACCCGUGCUCAACAUGGGCCGUGCCAUUGAUACUGGUAGUCUAGAGUUCCGUUGCCGUGGGAGGAAUGAGUAGUGUAGCGGUGAAAUGCAUAGAUAUUACUCAGAACACCGAUUGUGAAGACAUCUCACGAAGCGGCGACUGACGCUGAGGCACGAAAGCGUGGGGAUCGAACAGG
rnacentral:rRNA from 1 species